AUGAUGCAAGGCAAUGAAAUCGCCCCUUGUGUGAAAUAGCUCCGUGAACACUCUCCUGAAGAGCGCCAUUUCAUGUAUUUCAUUCCUCCUGUCCAGCAGUAAACAAUGCAGUUAUCCCAUUCGAGUUGGACGAUACUUCUUUUCUCCAUUUUGAUUACAACAUCUAUAGGAGCUCCUCUACGAGAUAGAUUAUGGAGUGAAACCUGCACCCCCUAACAUGCCAUUCUGGAUGCGAUCUAAGAAGGAAGGAGUCUAUCGGCCCGAUCUGGAGGAGUUCUGGUAGCCUUCAGCGACAUGGCCUCUUCAGUUACAGUCAAUGAAGAAUAAACUAAUCAGUUCAUUCAUUUAACUGUGC
ensembl:lncRNA